rnacentral:rRNA from 1 species
UACGAAGGGUGCAAACGUUGCUCGGAAUUAUUGGGCGUAAAGCGCACGUAGGCGGCUUUGCAAGACAGAUGUGAAAUCCCCGGGCUUAACCUGGGAACUGCAUUUAUGACUGCAUGGCUGGAGUGCGGCAGAGGGGGAUGGAAUUCCGCGUGUAGCAGUGAAAUGCGUAGAUAUGCGGAGGAACACCGAUGGCGAAGGCAAUCCCCUGGGCCUGCACUGACGCUCAUGCACGAAAGCGUGGGGAGCAAACAGG